rnacentral:tRNA from 1 species
GGAGCGGUGGCCGAGAGGCUGAAGGCGGCGGUUUGCUAAACCGAAAGAUGCUGUCCCGCUCUG